rnacentral:rRNA from 1 species
AGAGUUUGAUCCUGGCUCAGAAUGAACGUUGGGGGCAUGGAUUAGGCAUGCAAGUCGAGCGAGAAGUUUAAGUUUGAUACUUCGGUUGAUUUCUUAGACGGAAAGCGGCGCAAGGGAGAGUAACGCGUAGUUAUCUGCCCCAAGGUCCGGAAUAGCCUCGGGAAACUGAGGGUAAUGCCGGAUAAUAUCCCCGGAUCAAAGGUGUGAUUCCGCCUUGGGAGGAGACUGCGUUGUACUAGCUUGUUGGUGGGGUAAUGGCCUACCAAGGCGAUGAUGCAUAGCGGGCGUGAGAGCGUGGCCCGUCUCACUGGGACUGAGACACUGCCCAGACACCUACGGGUGGCUGCAGUCGAGAAUCUUCGGCAAUGGGCGAAAGCCUGACCGAGCGAUGCCGCGUGCGGGAUGAAGGCCUUCGGGUUGUAAACCGCUGUCAGUUGGGAGGAAGGCUCCGUGAAGAACGGAGCUUGACCUAUCUUCAGAGGAAGUCCGGGCUAAGUUCGUGCCAGCAGCCGCGGUAACACGAACCGGACAAACGUUAUUCGGAAUUAUUGGGCUUAAAGGGUGCGUAGGCGGCGCGGUAAGUGAGGUGUGAAAUCCCACGACUCAAUCGUGGAACUGCGCUUCAAACUACCGUGCUAGAGGGAGACAGAGGUAAGCGGAACUGAUGGUGGAGCGGUGAAAUGCGUUGAUAUUAUCAGG